rnacentral:tRNA from 1 species
AUUUAGAUGGCUCAGUUGAUAGAGUAUGGGACUCCUGAUCUCGGGGUUGUGAGUUCAAACCCCACAUUGGAUA